rnacentral:rRNA from 1 species
CAGAGGGUGCAAACGUUGUUCGGAAUUACUGGGCGUAAAGCGCGUGUAGGCGGCUAUGCAAGACGGAUGUGAAAGCCCUCGGCUCAACCGGGGAAGUGCACCCGAAACUGCAAAGCUAGAGUCUCGGAGAGGAUCGUGGAAUUCUCGGUGUAGAGGUGAAAUUCGUAGAUAUCGAGAGGAACACCGGUGGCGAAGGCGGCGAUCUGGACGAUGACUGACGCUGAGACGCGAAAGCGUGGGGAGCAAACAGGAUUAGAUACCCUGGUAGUCCACGCCGUAAACGAUGGGUGCUAGGUGUCGCGGGCUUUGACCCCUGCGGUGCCGCAGCUAACGCAUUAAGCACCCCGCCUGGGAAGUACGGCCGCAAGGCUA